GGAAGUGGUCUCCUCAGGCACGAGUGCAUCACAGAGGAAGUGUCGACUCAGAGGAAGGACCAGCCAGAAGGCGAGUUGGCAGGCAGAGCUCUCCCUGAGUGAGCCAUGAAGAAGAUCUCCUCCCUCAUCCAUCUCUCCCUCUUCUGUGCAGGAGUAAUGCCAGCCGUUGUGUUGGUGCCUGAAAACCAUGCAGUGACUGUGCCCGUAGGGGGGUCUGCCACCCUCAGGUGCUCCAUGGAAGGAGGAACGAUCAGCAGCUACUACGCAAACUGGUACAGGAAGACCCAGGGUAACACACUGACUUUCAUAUACCGAGAAUCGAACACCUAUGGUCCUGGUUUCCAGGGCCGUUUCCAGGGUGGCCAGGAUUUGCCCAGAAACCAGGCUGUACUGAAGAUUGUUACGGCAUCAGAGAGUGAUGAAGGAUUUUACUACUGUGCCUGUGAUUUACCACCCUGCUACAGGUCUACUUCUGAGGAACUCAAAAACCAAUGAGAUCCAUGUCCUUAAACUGACAAGCUCAUCUUUGGAAAAGGAACCCAUCUGACUGUGGAACCAGGAAUUCAGCCUCCUUCCAAACCAACUGUUUUCGUCAUGAAAAAUGGAACAAAUGUCGCUUGUCUGGUGAAGAACUUCUACCCCAAGAAUGUGGAUAUAAAUCUCCGAUCAUCCAAGAAGAUAAAAGAAUUUGACCCUGCUAUUGUCAUCACUCCCAGUGGGAAGUACAGUGCUGUCAAGCUUGGUCGGUAUGAAGAUUCAGAUUCAGUGACAUGUUCAGUUCAGCAUAACAAUGAAAUAGUGCACUCCACAGACUUUGAAGUGAAGAAAAAUUCUUCAGAUGAUAUAAAACCAAGGGAACCAGAAAAACCCACAAUGAAGCAAGCUGCAGAGAGGUGCCAGAAACCAAAAGCCAUAGGUCGCACCGAGAAGGUGAACACAGUGUCCCUCACGGUGCUGGGGCUACGAAUGCUGUUUGCCAAGAGUGUUGCUGUCAAUUUCCUCUUGACUGCCAAGCUAUUUUUCUUUUAAGGCUGACUAGGAAGAGGAGGCCACAUUCCUUGAAAGAAACCAAAAGUUUUAAAAGAUGAUUUCUCCUGGGCUUCUCACUUCUGAUUCCAGCUGACCCCAUCAUAGCCUCGUUUGAAUGGCUGCUGGACAAACCAGUUUUUCUUUGGAGGCAACAAACCCAGCUCAUCCUCCAGCCUGGUAGAAAGACAAAAGUCCUAGAGAAGAGGGUUUAUGGUCCUAACCUAUUUAUAUGUUGCUUUUUAAAGUAUAGAGGGACAUAAAGGGAUGUAGGACUCUUUUUUUACUACAACUGAUACACUUUGAAAAUGGUAUUUCAUUCCUUUUGACUUUCUUUACCUUCAGAAGUAGAAAGUGGGACCCGAAAGGCUUCCAGCUCCAUUCUCCAUGAGGAAAAUAGGCCCUGGGGGAAGAAGAGCAGGUGUCAUUUUACCUAAACAUGGAAGCCUCUGCUCAACCAAGCCAAGAUUUGUGCCACACUAGCAUCCACCUCUACCCACCUGUAUCCUACCCUCUGUAUUCACUUCCACAGCCACACAAGUCAUUUUGCAUGACGAGGGAGGGGGACAAAGUUUCAGUACUUUCUGCUUUUCCAAUACUUUACAAACAAGUUUAUAUUUGACUUCCCUAAGAUUCUUUGAGCAGGCAUUGGGGUUUCUGAAAUCUCAUCUCUGUACUCUCCAAUCUAUUAGCAAAGAUCAGAGUAAAAUACAGAGGAAAGGUACUUCUUUCUGUUAAUUAAUUUAAUAUAUGUGAAUUGACUUCCUCUAAAUUCCAGGCACUGUAGUGAGAGUACAAAAAAGACAUUGGCCCUGCUUUCGAGCAAGUGUUUUUGAAGGGAGGGAUAGUAAUGCGACCCCCUUUCUUUCCCCUAUAAAAACAAUAUUUUUACUGUCUUUUGCCUGGCAGUCUAUGCACAGGGAGUUUGAGAUCACUGGGCACUGAUUCUUUUGCCUAGGCCUUUGGGGUUGGUGGUUUUCUGCCUUUCUUCUCAGCGCCUGUCUCUGUUGCAUUUAUUAAACUCCAUUAUACAUACCUCA